UGACUCGAAGAUCGAGCACGAUGAGGCUGGCUGCACUGGUACUCUUGCUCCUGGGGUCUUCAAAUGGGGUGGUGACCCAGGUGUCCCUUCAAGAAGCAGAGGAGGAAGAUCAAGGCAGUGGCGUGGAGUCGGAUCCAGAGGUUCUGGCUGAUAUCUACUGGUCAGGGACUGCUCCUGUGUGUGUCGGAGGAUGUAAGGGGAGACACCGUGAGCUGAAGAAGGAUCGCUGUGGCAACUCCGACUGCUGCUGGUUUGGAUAUAAAUCCUUGUGUCGAGGUACAACUGUGUGUAACCCUUACUUAUGGAUUUUGUCUGUGCUACAGUUUUGCAUGAUGAUCUUAGCACAUAACCAUAGAAUACAAACUCCAUUCCCAGUUUGUAUAUUAGCUCAUUGGAAUGUUUACUCUUAUUUUAAGUUUUUCAUAUUUGUAAGCGGAUAAGGUGCCAGAUUGGCGUAACCAACAAGUGCAUAUGAUAUAUAUUCAGAACAUCUAUAUUUCUUAAGCCCAACUACACAAUGUGACCUACCCCUGUUCCUCAUUCCACUUCCUGAUCCUGCCCCUGGUGUCCUGUGUCCUGCUAUGCAGUGAACUGUGGGCAGCCUGAUGUGGAUGUGAAUGGAGUUGUCUAUGGGAAUGACUGGUGGGUCGACUCAGUGGUGCGCUAUGCCUGCCGACCUGGCUUCAUGCUCAUCGGUGACCCCGCGAGAGCGUGCCAGUCGAAUGGGAGGUGGACGGCCAAACCUUCCUGCCUCAGUAAGCCAAACAUCUAAGGACUAUGCGCAUGAACUUCAUGCCCACAGAAUAAAUAGGAGGAUAGAAAUACA
rnacentral:lncRNA from 1 species